rnacentral:rRNA from 1 species
UACGUAGGGUGCGAGCGUUAAUCGGAAUUAUUGGGCGUAAAGAGCUCGUAGGCGGUUUGUCGCGUCUGGUGUGAAAAUCCAGGGCUUAACCCUGGACCUGCAUCGGGUACGGGCAGACUAGAGUGCGGUAGGGGGAGAUCGGAAUUCCUGGUGUAGCGGUGAAAUGCGCAGGAUAUCAGGAGGAACACCGGUGGCGAAGGCGGAUCUCUGGGCCGUAACUGACGCUGAGGAGCGAAAGCAUGGGGAGCGAACAGG